rnacentral:rRNA from 1 species
AAGUCGUAACAAGGUUUCCGUAGGUGAACCUGCGGAAGGAUCAUUAUCAUAGGGCUUCUGCCCUUUGAGAUAGCACCCUUUGUUCACAAGUACCUAAUUGUUUCCUCGGCAGGACAACUUGCCAAUGGGGACCCUAUAAAACCCUAUGUAGUAGCUGUACACGUCUAAAAAUUAAUAUCUUACAACUUUCAACAACGGAUCUCUUGGCUCUGGCAUCGAUGAAGAACGCAGCGAAAUGCGAUAAGUAGUGUGAAUUGCAGAAUUUAGUGAAUCAUCGAAUCUUUGAACGCACAUUGCGCCCUAUGGUAUUCCAUAGGGCAUGCCUGUUCGAGCGUCAUUUAAAAUCUCAAGCGUUGCUUGGUUAUGGGUGGUUGUCCUACCCAAUGGACUUGCCUGAAAUCUAUUGGCUGCUAAUUGUAAGGCUUUAGGUGCAGUAAACAUGCCCAAAAUUGCUUUAUUGUAGUGUCCAGAAGCCUUUUUCUAUUCUUGACCUCGGAUCAGGUAGGGAUACCCGCUGAACUUAAGCAUAUCAAUAAGCGGAGGAAAAGAAACCAACAGGGAUUGCCUUAGUAACGGCGAGUGAAGCGGCAAUAGCUCAAAUUUGAAAUCUGGUUCUUUUAGAGCCCGAGUUGUAAUUUGCAGAGGGUGCUUUGGGGUAGGCAGCAGUCUAAGUUCCUUGGAACAGGAUAUCAUAGAGGGUGAGAAUCCCGUAUGUGGUUGCUGGUCUUCACCAUGUAAAGCCCCUUCAAUGAGUCGAGUUGUUUGGGAAUGCAGCUCUAAAUGGGAGGUAAAUUUCUUCUAAAGCUAAAUAUUGGCCAGAGACCGAUAGCGCACAAGUAGAGUGAUCGAAAGAUGAAAAGUACUUUGGAAAGAGAGUCAAAAAGCACGUGAAAUUGUUGAAAGGGAAGCGCUUGCAGCCAGACCUGCCUGUAGUAGUUCAAUUAGGCUCUUGCCUGGUGCACUCUUCUAUAGGCAGGCCAGCAUCAGUUUAAGCGGCUGGAUAAAGACCUCUGACACGUUCCUCUCUCAGGGGAGGUCAUAUAGGGGAGGUGAAAUGCAGCCAGCUUAGACUGAGGUCCGCGCAUCUGCUAGGAUGCUGGCAUAAUGGCUGUAAGCGGCC